ensembl:lncRNA
AGUUGUGUGUGCCUGCAUUGUGCUCAUAAAAAGCUUGGGCUGUGAUAAUGGUACCUGGACGUUAUCAGAGCAUACAAUUACAGGAUAAGGGGGGUAAUCUCUUCCCUUCUGCCACCUUGCAGCACUUAUCGCAGCUCAGAUGGUGUUAAGAUGAGUAAGAUCUGACCUGGCAGCACAUGCAGUGAGAAUCUGCAAUGUUAGGAGUCUGCCGUUCCCAGAAAUGUGCAUUGCACGGUGAUGAUUAGGUUGGUCUAAAAACUCCAGCUUAAAAUUGAGCUUUGUUUAGACAUUGCCAUCGGUGUUCUUCUAGAAUUUUUCACUCACUCAAAGAUGGAUUAUUCACCCAGUAAUGAAAGAUGGGCAUGAAGGGAGGUCGGGAUGUUGGUGUGGAAACCACCAGGAGAUGUGAUACUUGUGUCCCUCAGCCUCAAUGCUCACAAAUGUUAUGCUUUUUCUACCCUAGAGGCAGAAGUUUUCCUGCUUACAGAGUGUAUUCAAAAAAAAGGGAAUGGAAUUGGAAUGCUAAGCAAUGCAUUAUUGGUGACACGGUGAGCAAAUAGGUUAUCAAUUUCUAAUGCACUCUCAGCAGCGCUGUACAAAAGCUGUGCAAAUUUGCUUUCUGUGUCGGCCAAAGGCAUCGUUGUACCAUGUGGGUGCAAUGAUUGGAGAGAACAGUUUGUAGUAGUUCACUAAACGAAGUUUAAGCCACUAUAUCUAAAUUAGGCGUUUGCCUUUGACAUCUUAUUAUUUCAUAAUUGUAACUACGAGGCUUUUCAGAGUGGGUAAUUGCUUUUUUUCCCCAAAGCUGCAUUAGUCUUCAAGGGCAAGUGAUGGUGAAAUAGAAGCCUGAGUGCCUGAAGUUGUAAAAUAAAGAGAAUCAAGCAUGAGCUAAGAGUAUAAUUCACAUAGAAACUCCCCUUCAGCUGCCGGGUCCCUCAUCUCAGAGCUGGUGGAAAAUGCUGCAGAGGAAUGGGUAGAACCCUGAAGAAAACUCAGGACAGUUUCAUGGUGAUGAUGGGCCAAGGCUGGAACUGUAGAUGCACGUGGAACUUCCCGAAGAGCUGUGUGGUUGUAGCAUGACAACCCAAUCUUCUUUUCCCUUGUGGGCUGUGGAGUUGAGGAAACCAUCCAAGUGCUAUCGGAAGCCAAAAACAGGUAUGAAGAUGGGGUAGCACCAUGUAAAAGCUGGAGUUCCCACUCAGAGCUAUUUAAUAUGCUUUUAUUCAUGGAAAGCUUUGUGGAAUUCAAACAGAAACCUUCUGGGAUAAAGUUCUGUCGCCUCUCAGAGGGGUUUGGUUGCCAUUAUAGGGGACAGCAUCCCAUCUAUAAGAAUGGCACAAAGGGAAAUUAAAUUUGAGCUGAGCUUUACUUGCGUUUUUGACAUGGCUUUAAAUAUGGAAAACAUUAAACAGUGUAGAUUUGUGCUAGAUGGUGUUCUCUGUCAUAGAAGUAUCUCUGUGAGAGCUGAGCUAUGGUUUCUAAAGAGAAAAUAAAUGUCGACAUUACCAAGG